GAUGAACGCCGGCGGCGUGCCUAAUACAUGCAAGUCGAGCGGAUGGAUUAAGAGCUUGCUCUUAUGAAGUUAGCGGCGGACGGGUGAGUAACACGUGGGUAACCUGCCCAUAAGACUGGGAUAACUCCGGGAAACCGGGGCUAAUACCGGAUAACAUUUUGAACCGCAUGGUUCGAAAUUGAAAGGCGGCUUCGGCUGUCACUUAUGGAUGGACCCGCGUCGCAUUAACUAGUUGGUGAGGUAACGGCUCACCAAGGCAACGAUGCGUAGCCGACCUGAUAGGGUGAUCGGCCACACUAGGACUGAAACACGGCCCAGACUCCUACGGGAGGCAGCAGUAGGGAAUCUUCCGCAAUGGACGAAAGUCUGACGGAGCAACGCCGCGUGAGUGAUGAAGGCUUUCGGGUCGUAAAACUCUGUUGUUAGGGAAGAACAAGUGCUAGUUGAAUAAGCUGGCACCUUGACGGUACCUAACCAGAAAGCCACGGCUAACUACGUGCCAGCCGCCGCGGUAA
rnacentral:rRNA from 1 species